rnacentral:rRNA from 1 species
CCUACGGGAGGCUGCAGUAGGGAAUAUUGCUCAAUGGGGGAAACCCUGAAGCAGCAACGCCGCGUGGAGGAUGAAUGUUUUCGGAUUGUUAACUCCUUUUUUUAGAGAAGAUAAUGAUGGUAUCUAUCGCAUAAUCACCGGCUAACUCCGUGCCAGCAGCCGCGGUACUACGGAGGGUGCAAGCGUUACUCGGAAUCACUGGGCGUAAGGAGCGCGUAGGAGGGAUAGCAAGUCAGAUGUGAAAUCCUAUGGCUUAACCAUAGAACUGCAUUUGAAACUGUUAUUCUAGAGUAUGGAAGAGGUAGGUGGAAUUAUUGGUGUAGGGGUAAAAUCCGUAGAUAUCAAGAAGAAUACUCAUUGCGAAGGCGACCUGCUAGAACAUAACUGACGCUGAUGCGCGAAAGCGUGGGGAGCAAACAGGAUUAGAUACCCGUGUAGUC